AGAUUGAACGCUGGCGGCAUGCCUAACACAUGCAAGUCGAACGGGAGUAGCAAUACUCUAGUGGCGGACGGGUGAGGAAUACGUAGGAAUUUGCCCUUAAGUGGGGGAUAACCCGGGGAAACCCGGAUUAAUACCGCAUGACCUUGAAAGAGCAAAGUGGGGGAUCGCAAGACCUCACGCUUUUGGAGAAGCCUACGUCGGAUUAGCUAGUUGGUGAGGUAAUGGCUCACCAAGGCGACGAUCCGUAACUGGUCUGAGAGGAUGAUCAGUCACACCGGAACUGAGACACGGUCCGGACUCCUACGGGAGCAGCAGGUGGGGAAUAUUGGACAAGUGGGACGCAAGCCUGAUCCAGCAAUGCCGCGUGUGUGAAGAAGCCGUUGGUUGUAAAGCUACUUUAAGUAGGGUAAAGAAAAACUCGACUACUAACAC
rnacentral:rRNA from 1 species